rnacentral:sRNA from 1 species
AUAAUUAUUACGUGCAAAGUUAUUAAUGCCUAAAUGCUAACGUACAAUCCUAAGGGCUGGGUUUUGCUGAACCUGUAAAUUCGCGUUACGUAAAACGCAAUAGGAACGCCGCCUAUAAAUAGGGGCUCCUAAAUCCUAAAAAUAGCAGGUUAAUCCUGAAUCCUUAAAAAUCAGUUUCUAAUCCAAUGCUAUAGUUAUAAUGCUAUCGUGGAUUAUUAUACGCUAUAUUAUCGCCCUGUAUUUUGUUAAUUACCGUAUACCUAACCUGUACCCAGUCCCCGGUUGUGACAAUUUUAAUCCUUUUUUUUGGGUUAUUUAUACGAUAACCGACAAUAAUCCAGGCGAAUCGUCAAAAAUUAUUAAACCUAUGGUCGAUUUCGACGUUGAAAAAAAAAAAUACGCCAAUUAAAACGUUAUAAGGAAUUUAUGCAAAAAAAACUGGAUUUCCAACGGGAAACCAAAAAAUUUUAAAAAUAAUUCCAAUUUUUUACCCAAAAGAAACGCCAAUUUCCUGAAAAUAAAAGGAAAAGGGAAAUUAAAAAUCCCCAUUUUUUUAUUUUGGAAUUUAAUUUAUUAUGGAAAUAACGAAAUAAUUGGUUAUUACAAAUAUAAUAAAUAUUUAAAAUAAUAUCCAAAAAAUAUUGCACAAAGGAACGCAAGGUUUUUUACGGGUUUUUAACCUUAUCGAUUGCGUUUCGAAACCGUUAUAAUAUUUACAUUUUGGGGUUCCCAAAAAACGAACGUACCGUUACCGAGGUUAAUUGGAGCAAUUUCGUUAAAUGGAUAAAAACGUUUAUUAAAAUUAAUAAAAUUAAAAAAAAAAACGCCAUAUUAAAAUUGGAAUAAAUUAAAUAUUUUAUAAAAUAAUUUUUUUUUGAUUUCCAUAUUUAUUUUUUAAAUUUAAAAUCCCAUAUGGAUAGGGAAACCGAAAAAAAUCGUUUUUUACGGUUUUUUAACAAAUUGGUAUUUAAAUUGAAAAAAUACCUUAAUAUUUACUGUGGUAUUAUAUUUUUUACCCGAAAUAAAACAAUGAUUUGGGUAUAAAAAUAUUAAAAUAAUAUUAAAGGACGAAAACGAAACGUUAAAAACAAUUUAACAGGACCAUUUUCCAGCAAAAAAACCAAAAAAACCGAAAAAAAUAGGAACGGAAAGGACGGGGAAUCGCAAAUUACCCAAAACAAUUUUUCCCAACGCAAAAAUAAAAACAAAAAUAAAGGAAAUAACGGAAAUUCCGGCGGAAAUCGGACAAAACGCAAACCAAACGAAAAAGGGAAACGCAAAUCCGGGGGGUCCGACAAUUUUAAAUUUCGGAAAAAUCGAAAAAAUAAAACCAUUGGAAAAUUAAUCCGGUAUUACCGCUGCGAUAAUAAUACGCAUUUCGUUUAUUAAUAUCCGGAAAAGAUUUCGGGGUUAGGUAAAUAACAAAUUAAAAUUUCGGAUCAAUCCAAAACCAGGAAAGAAACCAAGGUUUAAAUAAUUAAAAAUAAAAAUACGCAAAAUAACCUUUUUCGAAAACCUAUUAUUAUAUCCAGCAAACCUAAUAUCCCAAUUUUAUUUUAAUAUCCUAUAUUUCAAACCUCGGCUCGUUUAUUAAAUAUACCGGGAAUUAUUACCCAAAUGGCCAUAAAUACGGGUGCAAAGGUUAAUUUAAUUAAUAAAACUUUUGCGUUAUAAUAUUAAUUAUUUUUGCAAAUAUGCAAAAUACCAGUUAUUAUUAAUGUGGAACAGGACGAAAUUACCAUUAAAGGAAUUUAUUUUAUAUAAUUAUGGAUUAUUAAUUUUCGAAAUAUUUUUAAAAAGGUGGAACGUUUAUAUAUUAUUAUAUAAAAAAUAAAAGAAAACCUUUUUAUUAUUUGGAAAAGGUCGGUUUUGGUAAACGAAAAUAUUAUUAUAAAUAAUUCCACGUAUUAAUAAUGGUUUAAAAUAA